GACCGGAAAGGUGGCGAAUGAUGCCUGGGCAGGGCAAGCGAGAGGAAACUCUGGUGCAGGUCCAUAGUGGUCCUGAUGUGUAAAACAGGUGUCCGACCUAGGUAUAGGGGUGAAAGACUAAUGGAACCAUCUAGUAGAUGG
rnacentral:ncRNA from 1 species